rnacentral:rRNA from 1 species
GCGGUAAUUCCAGCUCCAAUAGCGUAUAUGUAAGUUGUUGCGAUUAAAAAGCCCGUAGCUGAACCUCGGGCAUCCCUGACGGUCCGCCAAUGGUGAGUACUGUCGAGGGCUGUCUUUCUGCUGGGAACCGUAUCCGGCGUUUACUCGCCGCGAACGGCGUCCAGCAAGGUUACUUUGAGUAAAAUAGAGUGUUCAAAGCAAGCAUGUGCUAUGAAUACACUAGCAUGGGAUAACACGACAUGACCGAUGGUCUAUCUUGUUGGCCUGUAGACCCGUUGGUAAUGGCUAAUAGGGACGGUCGGGGGCAUUCGUAUUUCGCUGUCAGAGGUGAAAUUCUCGGAUU